rfam:Eubacterium sp. CAG:76 genomic scaffold, scf9
ACAGCAAUGCCCAGACACGAGGUCUGGGCAAGCGACAACUGAGCCACGAUGGCGAAUUUGGAGCGGUGCGUCCGGCACCAUAACUCCACCGGGAAUGACUUAGUAAUAUCCAAUUAUCUUAUAGC